UACGUAGGGGGCUAGCGUUAUCCGGAAUUACUGGGCGUAAAGGGUGCGUAGGUGGUUUCUUAAGUCAGAAGUGAAAGGCUACGGCUCAACCGUAGUAAGCUGUUGAAACUGAGAAACUUGAGUGCAGGAGAGGUGAGUAGAAUUCCUAGUGUAGCGGUGAAAUGCGUAGAUAUUAGGAGGAAUACCAGUAGCGAAGGCGGCUCUCUGGACUGUAACUGACACUGAGGGACGAAAGCGAGGGGAGCAAACAGG
rnacentral:rRNA from 1 species